GAAAUGCGAUAAGUAAUGUGAAUUGCAGAAUUCAGUGAAUCAUCGAAUCUUUGAACGCACCUUGCGCUCCUUGGUAUUCCGAGGAGCAUGCCUGUUUGAGUGUCAUUUAAUUCUCAACCCCUCCAGCUUUUCGUGGCUGGCUUGGUGGCUUGGAUGUGGGGGAUUCUUGCGGGCCUCUAAGAGGUCGGCUCCCCUGAAAUGCAUUAGUGGAACCGUUUGCGGGACCGUUCACUGGUGUGAUAAUUAUCAUCACCGAAGACAACCGCUCUCAUGUAGUUCUGCUUCUAAUCGUCCUUUCCCAUGGACAAUAAUGUUUGAAUGCUUGACCUCAAAUCAGGUAGGACUACCCGCUGAACUUAA
rnacentral:misc_RNA from 1 species